CUGCACCACUUUUGCCUGUUCCCAUUAGACCCUGCCCCUUUGAUGCACCCCAUUUUACCUUUAUAUAACCUAGGCUCUCCACUCAGUUUUGUCUUUUGUCCUGGGACCCCUUUGAUGUGUGGAUUGAUAAACCCUGUUGGAACUCCAUACAAAAGAUCCUUCCUGACUCUUCACUGAAAGCUGUGCUUGGUGUGUGUGUGGACUGUGUAACUGCUUGUGUGCCUGCCUGAACACCUUCACCAGGAGAUGCUUUUGGGAAGGUGGCAGCAUUCACCAUCUACCCACACUGCUACACAAAGAAGGACAAUGAAGCUGGUGAAGAGUAUGGGUCUCCCAUGAGAAGGCCGGAGAAGCCUUUUCUAUAUUAGUCUGGAGAAAAUGAAACUCAGGAUGGUCUUGGUGCUCUCUAAACACCCAUAAAAGGAGGUUGUAGCCAGACUAUACUGCCGCGGCGACGGAGGGGCCAGAGGGCCGCGACUUCUCUAGCGAGGCAGCCCUGAACAGGUCUGGGCCGAAGCGUGUGUGAGCGGCUUCGGGCAGGCGAGUGAUUCCAGCUCGGCUCAGCGGCAGCGGGCAGGCGACACGGGAAGCAGGGACGAGAAACCUGGUCCAGCAUUCCGCUAAGCACAAACCUUUAUUCAGGCAGAGCUUUGGCGAAGGGAGCUAAUCUCCCGAACAGGAGAAAACCCGGGAUAUUUAUAGGGGAGGAGAGGGGCGGGGGGAGCCUGAGUUACAUGUAUCGGGUUGGGACAGCAGGGGGGAACACCAAUAGGGCACAGCAGUUUAACAUAUCUAACUCAAAGAUCCCUGGGAGUGAUACAUUGUCUCUCUCUGAGUGAAAGGUGUCUUGCCUCCAGGGGAGACCCCGGAACCAGGAGCCAGCGGGUUCCCCGGCCCCCACAGUAUACAAGAAAAUGCCAAAAGUUCACUGAUGCAGAGUGGAGUGUUUUCCCUGUCACCACUAAUGAAUGAUCAUUUUCAGCCCUAAAAGUCUUGGGUAAGGCUUUCAACACCUUUCUAACUUUUAGAAUUAAUUAAGGAGUAAUGUCUUAUAUGCAAUCACAUCACAAAAACUAUGAUGUAAUUUAGCUGAAAUAAUGAUCCUUGUUUUACGUUAUUGAGAAAUCAGGAUCCAAUCCAGAUUAACAAGGCUAAAAACCUUUAAAGACUGCUGGGCCAACAUCCAUAUCAAUCUUGAAAUUCAUGGAUCUACAUUAGGACUUUCUAGAUGUUAUCCAGCUCCCCAGGAUUAAUAUUUCACAUUGUCUGUCUGUCUUUUUCCAGAGUUAUCUUGCCAUAAUAAAUUGUGUGAUUAAGGUGUAA